GAUGAACGCUGGCGGCGUGCCUAAUACAUGCAAGUCGAGCGAACAGACGAGGAGCUUGCUCCUCUGACGUUAGCGGCGGACGGGUGAGUAACACGUGGAUAACCUACCUAUAAGACUGGAUAACUUCGGGAAACCGGAGCUAAUACCGGAUAAUAUAUUGAACCGCAUGGUUCAAUAGUGAAAGACGGUUUUGCUGUCACUUAUAGAUGGAUCCGCGCCGCAUUAGCUAGUUGGUAAGGUAACGGCUUACCAAGGCAACGAUGCGUAGCCGACCUGAGAGGGUGAUCGGCCACACUGGAACUGAGACACGGUCCAGACUCCUACGGGAGGCAGCAGUAGGGAAUCUUCCGCAAUGGGCGAAAGCCUGACGGAGCAACGCCGCGUGAGUGAUGAAGGUCUUCGGAUCGUAAAACUCUGUUAUUAGGGAAGAACAAAUGUGUAAGUAACUAUGCACGUCUUGACGGUACCUAAUCAGAAAGCCACGGCUAACUACGUG
rnacentral:rRNA from 1 species